rnacentral:rRNA from 1 species
AGCGAACGCUGGCGGCAGGCUUAACACAUGCAAGUCGAACGCCCCGCAAGGGGAGUGGCAGACGGGUGAGUAACACGUGGGAACGUACCCUUUGGUUCGGAAUAACUUGGGGAAACUCAAGCUAAUACCGGAUAAGCCCUUAUGGGGAAAGGUUUACUGCCGAAGGAUCGGCCCGCGUCUGAUUAGCUAGUUGGUGAGGUAAUGGCUCACCAAGGCGACGAUCAGUAGCUGGUCUGAGAGGAUGAUCAGCCACACUGGGACUGAGACACGGCCCAGACUCCUACGGGAGGCAGCAGUGGGGAAUAUUGGACAAUGGGGGCAACCCUGAUCCAGCCAUGCCGCGUGAGUGAUGAAGGCCUUAGGGUUGUAAAGCUCUUUUACCCGGGACGAUAAUGACUGUACCUACAGAAGAAGGACCGGCCAACUACGUGCCAGCAGUCGCCGUAA